rnacentral:tRNA from 1 species
UGUAGCUCAGUGGUAGAGUGCUUACUUAGCAAGUGUGGGGCCCUGGGUUCAAUCCUCAGCA